GUUUUUCUUUUUUCUUAAGCUCAUGCCUAAGUGAAGAGGUGGGUGAGUUCACAGUGGGAAGGUCACGUCUUUUCCCAUCCCCAGUCCUUCCAUUCCCAGAAUAGUUUGGGAGCCCAGCCUGGCCCUCAGGUCUGAGUGCUCAGCGUUAGAUGCCCCCAGAGCCUCCCUGGGCGGCUCAGGCUGUUCCCCUUUGCACCCAUCCCUUUCCCACCCCUCCCAGGCACUGCCAGGAGAGGGACAGAGUCUGGGCUUCAGCUUUGCCCUUCAUCAUCCUUCACUUAGCAGCUGCUGCUGUUACUUGAUUGUUAACAUAUGACCAAGAAACAAUUAUCACUGAAAAAAAUCAAAA
rnacentral:lncRNA from 1 species